UUGAACAACCGAAGUCAAGCAUCAUUGGGCGCGGUCAGUACUUGGGUGGGUGACCACCUGGGAACACCGCAUGCCGUU